rnacentral:rRNA from 1 species
UGUUUCGGCUAGGGGGUCAUCCCGACUUACCAACCCGAUGCAAACUACGAAUACCGAAGAAUGUUAUCACGGGAGACACACGGCGGGUGCUAACGUCCGUCGUGAAGAGGGAAACAACCCAGACCGCCAGCUAAGGUCCCAAAGUCACAGUUAAGUGGGAAACGAUGUGGGAAGGCACAGACAGCCAGGAUGUUGGCUUAGAAGCAGCCAUCAUUUAAAGAAAGCGUAAUAGCUCACUGGUCGAGUCGGCCUGCGCGGAAGAUGUAACGGGGCUAAACUGUGCACCGAAGCUGCGGCAGCGACACUAUGUGUUGUUGGGUAGGGGAGCGUUCUGUAAGCCUGCGAAGGUGGCCUGUGAGGGUUGCUGGAGGUAUCAGAAGUGCGAAUGCUGACAUAAGUAACGAUAAUGCGGGUGAAAAGCCCGCACGCCGGAAGACCAAGGGUUCCUGUCCAACGUUAAUCGGGGCAGGGUGAGUCGACCCCUAAGGCGAGGCCGAAAGGCGUAGUCGAUGGGAAACAGGUUAAUAUUCCUGUACUUGGUGUUACUGCGAAGGGGGGACGGAGAAGGCUAUGUUAGCCGGGCGACGGUUGUCCCGGUUUAAGCAUGUAGGCGGAGGUUCCAGGUAAAUCCGGUACCUUUUAACGCUGAGGUGUGAUGACGAGGCACUACGGUGCUGAAGUAACAAAUGCCCUGCUUCCAGGAAAAGCCUCUAAGCAUCAGGUAACAUUGAAUCGUACCCCAAACCGACACAGGUGGUCAGGUAGAGAAUACCAAGGCGCUUGAGAGAACUCGGGUGAAGGAACUAGGCAAAAUGGUGCCGUAACUUCGGGAGAAGGCACGCUGAUAUGUAGGUGAAGCCCCUGCGGGUGGAGCUGAAAUCAGUCGAAGAUACCAGCUGGCUGCAACUGUUUAUUAAAAACACAGCACUGUGCAAACACGAAAGUGGACGUAUACGGUGUGACGCCUGCCCGGUGCCGGAAGGUUAAUUGAUGGGGUUAUCCGUAAGGAGAAGCUCUUGAUCGAAGCCCCGGUAAACGGCGGCCGUAACUAUAACGGUCCUAAGGUAGCGAAAUUCCUUGUCGGGUAAGUUCCGACCUGCACGAAUGGCGUAAUGAUGGCCAGGCUGUCUCCACCCGAGACUCAGUGAAAUUGAACUCGCUGUGAAGAUGCAGUGUACCCGCGGCAAGACGGAAAGACCCCGUGAACCUUUACUAUAGCUUGACACUGAACAUUGAGCCUUGAUGUGUAGGAUAGGUGGGAGGCUUUGAAGCGUGGACGCCAGUCUGCGUGGAGCCAACCUUGAAAUACCACCCUUUAAUGUUUGAUGUUCUAACGUUGGCCCCUAAUCGGGGUUGCGGACAGUGUCUGGUGGGUAGUUUGACUGGGGCGGUCUCCUCCCAAAGAGUAACGGAGGAGCACGAAGGUUAGCUAAUCCUGGUCGGACAUCAGGAGGUUAGUGCAAUGGCAUAAGCUAGCUUGACUGCGAGCGUGACGGCGCGAGCAGGUGCGAAAGCAGGUCAUAGUGAUCCGGUGGUUCUGAAUGGAAGGGCCAUCGCUCAACGGAUAAAAGGUACUCCGGGGAUAACAGGCUGAUACCGCCCAAGAGUUCAUAUCGACGGCGGUGUUUGGCACCUCGAUGUCGGCUCAUCACAUCCUGGGGCUGAAGUAGGUCCCAAGGGUAUGGCUGUUCGCCAUUUAAAGUGGUACGCGAGCUGGGUUUAGAACGUCGUGAGACAGUUCGGUCCCUAUCUGCCGUGGGCGCUGGAGAAUUGAGGGGGGCUGCUCCUAGUACGAGAGGACCGGAGUGGACGCAUCACUGGUGUUCGGGUUGUCAUGCCAAUGGCAUUGCCCGGUAGCUAAAUGCGGAAGAGAUAAGUGCUGAAAGCAUCUAAGCACGAAACUUGCCCCGAGAUGAGUUCUCCCUGAGACUUUAAGUCUCCUGAAGGAACGUUAAAGACGAUGACGUUGAUAGGUCGGGUGUGUAAGCGUAGCGAUACGUUGAGCUAACCGAUACUAAUGAACCGUGAGG